AACGAACGCUGGCGGCAGGCCUAACACAUGCAAGUCGAGCGAACCCUUCGGGGUUAGCGGCGGACGGGUUAGUAACGCGUGGGAAUAUACCCUUUGGUACGGAAUAGCCUCGGGAAACUGAGAGUAAUACCGUAUGUGCCCUUCGGGGGAAAGAUUUAUCGCCAAAGGAUUAGCCCGCGUUGGAUUAGAUAGUUGGUGGGGUAAUGGCCUACCAAGUCUACGAUCCAUAGCUGGUUUGAGAGGAUGAUCAGCAACACUGGGACUGAGACACGGCCCAGACUCCUACGGGAGGCAGCAGUGGGGAAUCUUAGACAAUGGGCGCAAGCCUGAUCUAGCCAUGCCGCGUGGACGAUGAAGGCCUUAGGGUUGUAAAGUCCUUUCAGAUGGGAAGAUAAUGACGGUACCAUCAGAAGAAGCCCCGGCUAACUCCGUGCCAGCAGCCGCGGUAAAGUCAGUGA
rnacentral:rRNA from 1 species